CCACCAGGGGGAGCCAGAUGCCCGCUCGUUCCAUUAGAGGCGACACUAACCGCGGAGCUGGGGAGCCCUGGCAAAGAAAGGGUGUGUGCAGUAGCGGGGCGCCGGGGGCUGGGAUGCGGCGGGGAGGAAGGGCCCGGCGUCGCCUCCUGGCCCUGCCUUGCUGUCGCCGCUGACGAAAGCGCCGAGCUCCGCCGAGCGCAGGGCCCCUACCUCCAUCUCCAUUCUCACACUGGACGCGCCCCGGGCCUGAACAGAGCGGACAUUCCUGUCUCCGCAGGGCAACCGGGAAACCAGCCCGGAGCCGCGCAGCCCCUGGACUUCCCGGAAGAGCCCCGCCGCGCCGGGGAAGCCGGGCGCCGCUCCCCGCGGCGGCCUCGCAGCUGCAGAGCCACACGCAGCCCCGAAGCACCCAACCUGAACAAGGAGUGGCCGUCACGGGUGCCGGGCAAGCGCACGGCCUGGCCGCCGCCACCUGCCUCUCCUCUGCAGGGUGAUACUAGAAUCUGUCUCUUGUUCGACCCGGGGAGCUGGAAUGACCCCGCCGCCUAUUCCUUUUGCACUUCCUGCGGUCAACGCAUUUUCCCACCUCCUCCAUCCACCUCUCGGUUUUCACUGCUCACUGAGCAAGUGCCCAUCACCCGCCUCCAAGGCUGUCGCUCCGGCCUGGACUCCCCAUUCCCCCUCUUCCCCUUACUUGAAAGGCAGAACUAUAGAGAGACAGAGACAGAGGAAGACAGAGAUCUUUCAUUCAUUGGAUCACUCCCCAAAUGGCAACAUCGGCUGGAGUGGGCCAGGCAGAAGCCAGGAGCCUCCUCUCAGUCUCCAACGUGGGUGCAGGGGCCCAAGCACUUGGGCCACUGCUGCUUUCUCAAGCGCACUAGUCACAAUAGCAAGAAGCUGGAUGGGAAGUGGAGCAGCCAGGAUUCGAACCAGCAGUGCCCAUGUAGGAUGCUGGACUGCAGGCGGUGGCUUUACCUGCUACGCCACAGCACCAGCCCCAGUUCUGAUCAUCUGAUCGUGUCGCCCACCGCUGAGGCCUGCGGUGGCUUCCCAGUGUUCUUGCCUCAAAGGUCAAACCCUGGCCCUGGCCUCCUUGCCUGCCACCAUGCUCGCUCUUACUCUAGUUUCCAGCUCCAGCCGGCAGCGUUCAUCACAGGGCCUCGGCAGUGCGGUCUCCUCCACCUCCUUCAGACCCCUCUGCCCCACUGCUGUCUCAGACAUUCUUGA
rnacentral:lncRNA from 1 species